rnacentral:rRNA from 1 species
ACGGUACCCGCAGAAUAAGCACCGGCUAACUACGUGCCAGCAGCCGCGGUAAUACGUAGGGUGCAAGCGUUAAUCGGAAUUACUGGGCGUAAAGCGUGCGCAGGCGGUUUCGUAAGACAGAUGUGAAAGCCCCGGGCUCAACCUGGGAAGUGCAUUUGUGACUGCGAGACUAGAGUGUGUCAGAGGGAGGUAGAAUUCCACGUGUAGCAGUGAAAUGCGUAGAGAUGUGGAGGAAUACCGAUGGCGAAGGCAGCCUCCUGGGAUAACACUGACGCUCAUGCACGAAAGCGUGGGGAGCAAACAGGAUUAGAUACCCUGGUAGUCCACGCCCUAAACGAUGUCUACUAGUUGUCGGGGAUUCGUUUCCUUGGUAACGCAGCUAACGCGUGAAGUAGACCGCCUGGGGAGUACGGCCGCAAGGUUAAAACUCAAAGGAAUUGACGGGGACCCGCACAAGCGGUGGAUGAUGUGGAUUAAUUCGAUGCAACGCGAAAAACCUUACCUACGCUUGACAUGCCAGAAACCCCGCAGAGAUGUGGGGGUGCCCGAAAG